UACGUAGGGUGCAAGCGUUAAUCGGAAUUACUGGGCGUAAAGCGUGCGCAGGCGGUGAUGUAAGACAGUUGUGAAAUCCCCGGGCUCAACCUGGGAACUGCAUCUGUGACUGCAUCGCUGGAGUGCGGCAGAGGGGGAUGGAAUUCCGCGUGUAGCAGUGAAAUGCGUAGAUAUGCGGAGGAACACCGAUGGCGAAGGCAAUCCCCUGGGCCUGCACUGACGCUCAUGCACGAAAGCGUGGGAGCAACAG
rnacentral:rRNA from 1 species